rnacentral:misc_RNA from 1 species
AUCAGCUGCUUCCGUCAGGAAAAGAUGGGCGGUACUUCAGAUAACUCGUUCAUGGAGUAUACUUGGGUGAUCAUGUAACAGCUUAUCGGAGGACAUGCUGUUCUUAUAAUGUCCGGUCAAGAGAGAAUAGCCAGGAUCUUUCCAAACGUGUUAUUGUCACAUUCUGAGGAUUCUGCAUCAGCUGUCAGUGACAAUCCAUAUCCAUUUGAUAUUCCGAUAACAAGCUUACCACGACUAAAACCUGCCCUCUCGCCGAGUGUGCAGUUAAGUCUGACAGUCGUAUACAUAUCAUUAUAUGGGCUACUGUUCUUCGUUGUGUAUAUCCAGUUAUGGAUGAUAUGGUACUACCGACACAAACGUUUUAGUUACCAGACAGUAUUCCUUUUCCUUUGUCUGAUUUGGUCCGGUUUGAGAACGACUUUAUUUUCAUUUUACGUCCAAGAUUGCGACCUGGCUAAUGACUUGCCAUGGGUAUUCUAUUGGUUGUUAUACUGCUGUCCUGUCUGCCUACAGUUUACAACGCUGUGCCUACUGGUUUUAUUUUUUGCACAGGUUGUUUUCAAGGCCAGAGCAAAGUAUGAACCAAGCAAAUUCAAACGUCCCCUUCGAAUCCUGGUCUUCCUGGCUAUAAUCGUGUUUGUGGUGUCCAAUAUAACAUGUGCCAUGGUCAUCAAAUACAGUGAGAGGAAUUACUCUUCCAUUCCACUGGAGCUCAUCUAUAUACGGGUGGCCAUCAAUGACUCCCUUUUUAUCAUUUUUGGUAUUGUACUUUCGUUCUGUAUUUACAAAAUGUCAAAAUUGUCCUCCUCAUCGCUGGUUCUGGAAGCCAAGGGGACAAGUAUGUGUCAGGCAAUCGCGGCCUGUGUUGUCAUCCUGAUGCUGUUUACAUCCAGAGCUAUCUACAACUUUAUCUCCAUCUACCCAGCCCUGAAGACCAAGGUUCCCGACUUCGGCUAUGACUGGGUCAAUGUAUCUGACCAGGCUGACUUCAAUGAUCUGUCUGGGGGAUAUGAGUACCUUUCUUUCGGAAUCGUGUUGUUCGUCUGGGAGGUCCUACCAACAUUUGUUGUUGUGUUGUUUUUUCGAGUCAAAAGAGCCGUCAAUGCUGUGGCACUGAACGAUCUCUCCAACCACAGCCAUAGUUCAAAGGUGUUUUUCUUUGAUAACCCUCGUCGCUAUGACAGUGAUGAUGAUCUCACUCGGGAUGAUCCACAUUCGGUCAAUUACAGUGUACACAACUCUACCAACAGUAUUGACAAUGGAGGCAUCUCGCGUGGUACUCCCAUCCUCACCCCGAAUGGGAGGCUCACACCGAGGGGUGGCACACCCAGAGGCACCCCCAGGACGGCAUAUGGGUCCAUAAUGAGUAGAAGUAUGGCCUCUAGUCGCCUGGGGACAUCACCCUCACCAAUCAUGUACAACGGGCCCCAGUUGUAUCAGUGACAUAAUGGCUGAUGGUGGUAGGAUGGUGAUUCAUGUGAUAUGACUUGCUGGUGCUGUGAUGAAGAAUGUACACUUUGUCAAAAUGGUUCAGUGGGAAGGGGAAGUGAAAGACUUAGUUGAUGCUUUCAGAGAAUGUGCUUUAUGAGCAUGGUUGACCCAAGGUCAAGGAUAUCAGUGUCAAAGGGUAACCAGUGACACUUCCCGUGGAUACAGAAAUGUGAUUUCCGCUGACAUCAUUGUCCCUGGACGAAGAGAAGUUUAUGUAUAUAACCAUAUUUUGAUAUGCAUUUUCAUUGACUUACCAUAUUCAUUGUAAUAAGUGCCCUGGGUACUUAGAAAACUCACAAGGGGCUCUUCUUAAAAAACAACUAAAACUUUUGAGUUACUCGUCAGUUAAUAACCCUUUCUUGUUGUUUCCUAUAAUAAUGUAAUCUGCACAAAAAUAUGGACUGACAGAUACUUUUGUUUGUCUAAGUAUAUGAGAUCAUGCAAGUAUUUGUAUAUAGUGUGGAUAAAGUGUUUAAUAAGGGAACCUAAUAUUUUGAGUAAGUUAACGUCUUACACCUUGUGAUAUAUGUAAUAAAGGUUGUAUCGUCACCACAGAUGUAACAUGACAUGACUCUUUCAUGAGGAUACUGAUGGGAGUUUGGACAGGUACACUACAUGUUCAGUGUAAAAGUGUCAUCGAUAAGUCAUGCAGUUUGUGAAGAAUCAUCUGAUCACUGUUGAAACAAGGAAAAUAUGUAUUUUGCUAAGAGAUGAAAUUGUGAUAGGAGCCCCCGCAGUGUAUAAUUCUUGCUAUAAGUUAUACAGAGAAGCUAUGAUUGGGCAGCCCCUGAAAUGUUAAAUCCUUGCUAUAAGAUAUACAGUGAAAUAUACAUUAGAUUUAAGCCAACACAAAAGGUACGUGUCUGUCUCUUCAGUUGAUGAAUUUACAUAGAACUUAAGCAUACCGUUUAUUGAGUACUGCUUGUAAAUACAAAUGUACAACAAAACAGGGUUUUCCUGUAACACUUGUGAGAUUUAAUUGAUGGGAUAGUAUCAUUACAAAUGACAUAAUAGUUUUAUAUCCAAAGACACAUAUUUAUAUAUAUUAAUAUCUUUGAUACUAUGAAUUGUGUAUGCAAUCAUAUUUAUUGUCAGUGCAGAUUAUCCAAAAGAAAUAUCAUCCAUUCUAUAAUGUGGCAUAAUUUUUUUAUCAAAUAUUUAAUUAUGUUUAUUGUUAAUGCAGUGCUUUUAUUACAUAUUAGCUGUUCUGAAAGUUGUUAUCGAAAAAUUACUUCCUUGUAAGGAAGACAGUUUCACGGGGUUAGUCACAUACAACAAUUCAUUAUAUCUUGGGAAACAGGAUGUUUCUGCCUCUACAUCAUGUAUUAUUCAAACCAACUGUAGAACAACAGACAAGAUGGCUGCUUUUUGUUAUUCUGUUUAUCUGUUACAUCAAAGCUGAAGUACAGAAUCUGUGAAAGGAAUGACAAAAGCAGCUCUUUAAAAUGUGUUGCACAUUGUGUAUGGAUAUUUGUCAAUUGUUACAAUACCCCGGUAUAUCACCAAAUGAAUCAAUCAUGUGUUGGUACACAUCUUGUAUGUUCUAUCACCUAUAACAUUCCUUAGUGUAUAAUUGAUUACUAUGCUUGAAAAAGAAGGAUGUGUACCUCAGCUUGACGUAGUUUUACACAAAGUUUUUCAAAUUCAACUUUUGUCUGCUAGUUUGUGAAUAAAGUGUAAGAUGAAAAUCAUAUUAUUAACAGUUUAUUUCUAACCGUGCUUUAGUGCUGUACACAGAGGAAGUUUCCUCUUUGUGGGUUCACAUCCUGAACUAUUUUUGUGUUUGUUUGACAUGUACUUGAUGUGACCUUGAACUUUGCAUUGUUCAUUGUUUAUGUAAGUGAGAUGCCUAUUGCUGUACAAAUACUCAUAUUUUGUUGACGAUGUUGUUUUACAGAUAAAGACACUAAUUUAUCAUUCCAUGGUUUAUUUUUUGUCACUGUUUGUCUACUAACAUGCAUGUUUGUGCAAAUAUUCUUA